UCCUGGGCACUACACUGUCUCUUGGCUUGUGUCCCUUCUUGGGGGCAUCUGGGACAGAUGCUAAGGGUGGUGGCAGAAGGCCAGGCCAGGGUCUUCUGUUGGGUGGGGUCCCCAUCCCAUGGUAUCUUCUGGGCCGAGGGCACCCGUCCUGUGCUUAGCCAUCCGGGCCCAGAGCUGAGGCCAGGCUGCUGGUUCGCGUUUGUUAGCCGAGAAUGGAGUGGGAGGUGCUGUGGUGAGCGGUGGCGGAGGUGCCCUCGUCCUCUCUGGGCUCUAGGCAGUGGUCUAUGUUGCUCCCUCCGUUUUCUUAUGGGCCCUGUUUUGUUGCUGUGUUAGGUUCUCGUCAGUCCCACUGCCCCCUCCAAAUUUUGAGGAUUUUAUGAACCACAGGAUGGUGGUCCUUUUGGAUGUCUCACUUGUGCUGCUGGUAGAAAUCUAGGUGUCCAGGUGGCCACGUGGACCCAGUUUCCCACCGGAGCUGUGUCGACAACGUGCUGUCUUCCGCCAGCAGACAUGGUCCGGGGUGCAAAGCCAGCCGAGCACUCUGCUGAGCAGGACACCGCAGGCGCGGCAAGCCACGGCCUCCCGGACCUGCUGGUCGAGGAGUGCCCUCUGCCCACCUGCUCUGAAGGCCCUGUGUCACCUAGAAGCCUCCAGCUCCUCUCCCCUCUUACUCCUGUUAGGUUAGAAGUGGUUCCAGCCCGACUGCUCUUUAGGGUCACUCGAGGAGCUUCUAGAAACUGAUGCAGAGGUUCUGCCCUCAUGCUCCUUGUUCUAAUUGAUUUGCCUUUCCGUGUACUCUUUACCCCCUAACUGCUUCCUGACUUCCAUUUUAAGGAAGAUAAGGCUGAGAGACCUGUUUUACCCACCAAACUCCUUCGAAAGUUAGGAAAGAAUACUGCUAGAAUAGAACUCGUUUUCAGGGAACUUCAAGCAGACAAGGUCACAGCAUCCUUUGACCUGUCUGCGUCCUGGUUUGCCCUCCAGGGCAAAACCUCCAGUGUCCUGUCCAGUUGUGGCCAUGAGCGCAGCCUCGCCACCACUGGAGAUGAUGUGGGCCUCCCCCUGCACACAGGCUGGGGUGAGGGUUGCUGGUGGGAAGGGCACGAGAGGCCGCGGGAAGGCCAAGGGUGCCCGGCCAGUUCCUUACAACGGAGAGAGUUAGCCUCUUGUUAUUCCUAGCUCCGUGCCAUGCUGUGCACCUCUACCGCCAGCCCCUCUAGAUUGAGGCCCCUGGGAUUGCUAGCGGGGGGCUCCCCAGGCUAGUAACUGCCGCUUGCUGGCGUAUGGAGAGGAGGCCCUACCCUCUCCCCAGCUGGCUGUAGCACCGGCUGCUUGGCUAAGAAGUGAUCUGUGGACUGGACACAAGGACUUUGCCGGGCUGGGUCCCCUCCGGGUCCCAGUCCCAAGCGACGUGCUGAUUAUUCCAACACCAACCUGGCAAGCUAGCGGAGAGGAGCACAAACAUCCCCACAUGAGAAGGAGCAAACACAGGUCACUGAAACAAAGGAAAAGGUGGAGAGGGGCGCACACACACAAAGGGAGCAUCCAUCUGAGAGACUGAGAAGCGAAAAUGUCAAAAGGAAAAAAAUCCACAACCCCGUUUCCCAAAGACAAUGAAAGCUGAUCUGGUAUGUGAUACAUAGUGCUUACUGGGACAAAAAUAAAAACAAAAAAACAAAAACUUAAAAAAUCAUAAAGGGAAUCUAUAGGAAGGAGUUUGGCAGGAAAAUCUUCUAUAGGGCUCGAUUUAUAUGUUUGAUCGGUAGUCGUUCUGGCAGCCACUGGCCAGUGAGAGCUGUGCUUUUCUAUGCAAACCUGGAGGGAGCCUGGGGUGGGCUGGGGCACGUGGGCAUGGGCUGGGGCGCUCUGGGCAGUGCAGCCUGAGCCCGCUCCCCAGGACCCAAGCCCCCAGGAAGGGCGGGCAGACAGGUGGCACCUCGGCAGGUGCGUGGGCGAGGGGGGGGGCCCUCUACACUGGGGAUGGUUGGGGGUGCAGGUGCAGAUGUGUAUGCUGCUUUAUUUCCAAAAAAAAAAAAAAAGACAAAUAUGGAUGAAAUGGUGUUUUCCUUUUUCCUCUUUUUUUAAGCUACAAAGCACAUGAGAAAUGUUCUUUUUUUUCCUUUCAAAUUCUAAAUGUAAAGACUCAACUAAAACCAGAUUCUACAGCAUUCUACAGAAAUACACAGCCGUCAGUCACUCUGGGGUCGUAGGUUGGACAGGGGCUUGACACAGAAAGGCUGUGUGUCUUACAAAGGCCAAAAGGUCAUGCUACCAGGAGGUGAACGCCAACAGCAAAGAGUCCGGGAAGCGGUCUGUAGAGAGAGAGAUAAGGGGUCCAGUCUGACCAUUUUCUUUGAUUUUAAAAUCCAACCAACCAACCAAAAAAAAAAAAACAAAACGAAACAACCCUACAGUG